GCAGUCUGGGCGCAAGCCUGAUGCAGCCAUGCCGCGUGUAUGAAGAAGGCCUUCGGGUUGUAAAGUACUUUCAGCGGGGGGGAAGGGAGUAAAGUUAAUACCUUUGCUCAUUGACGUUACCCGCAGAAGAAGCACCGGCUAACUCCGUGCCAGCAGCCGCGGUAAUACGGAGGGUGCAAGCGUUAAUCGGAAUUACUGGGCGUAAAGCGCACGCAGGCGGUUUGUUAAGUCAGAUGUGAAAUCCCCGGGCUCAACCUGGGAACUGCAUCUGAUACUGGCAAGCUUGAGUCUCGUAGAGGGGGGUAGAAUUCCAGGUGUAGCGGUGAAAUGCGUAUUUAUCUGGAGGAAUACCGGUGGCGAAGGCGGCCCCCUGGACGAAGACUGACGCUCAGGUGCGAAAGCUUUACUAGGCGUA
rnacentral:rRNA from 1 species